AAACGGCGCAGCUGGGACUCUGUGCUGUGGCAGCCUAAGCGAACCUCUUCACGGGCUAAUGACAAUUGCAGGCAUUGUUGGGCUGUGUCCUAAGGUGAAUCAACAUAAAGAAAAGCCCUGGCUGCUCGUGCACUGAUAACUUCAUCUUUUCGGACAUCUGGGAACUACCGCCACAAUGUCUGGAAAAAAAAUGACUUCAAACUAAUGCAGCAGAGGCAAACCAUGGUUUGGCCAAAAAUGGAACAGAAUUUACAAGGGAAAAGGGAAGUUCCUGGAGUAAUAUGGUCAGAUGAGGAUGGAACUGGUGAAUGAGCAGAAGAGAAGGUUGGAAGAGUGCAGUGGUGAUGACAGCCCUCCGCUGCUCCUUCCCCAGAGGAAGGAGCUCCAAGUUUAUUCACCCCUCUUUUACCAUGAGGCAGAGGGAAAACAAUGACAAAUACACAGUAAACUUCGUUAUCAACAAACAGAAGUUGUUACCAAGGCAACAGAACAAGAGCAUCCCUGCAUCCAGCCAUCACAGUGUGAAGUGAGUUUCAGAUGAGGAGAUGCCUUGAGGGGCAAGGAGACCCUUCAGGAAAAAGCUGACCUGAUAAAGGAAUCAAGGAGCUGCCAUCCCAACUGAUGUCUUUUUUCCCUUUCUCAAUAAAGAGAAGAGCUUGCAAGAGCCCUGAAAGACA